GGGCACAUGGUGUAGUUGGUUUAUCACGCCCGCUUCGCAUUCUUAUGUAAUUCUGCGGGAGGUGUUGGGUUCAAUUCCCAAUGUGUCCA